GUCAAAAAGGCCUUUCCACACUCCUAUCACUUCGCAAACAAAAAAACCAGUUCCUUUCCCAGCCUCAUAAGAACAAAUAUGGGCACAGCAGGCCCCUAUGGCACCUCCUGGUAGGGAUGUUAGUGUGGACACGAGGAUCAGGCCUGACUGCAGAGAGCUUCUUGGCCUGCUGACUGAGCCCCUUCAAUGCCUUUGGUUUGGAAACCAGAAAAUGGAUUUUUCCUGAGAUGUUAGGAAAUAAUAUUUUAACAGAGGCCUUGCUCUCUAGUCUCUGGUUUGAAGGUAUCAUUGUUUGGGUUUCUCCUUCUGAGCACAAGACUCCCCUGUUCUGUUCUAUUCUGUUCUUUUUCCCUCCCUGCAGAGAAGAGAACAGAACAGAAGAAUAACAGAAGAUACAGAGCCUGUAAUGGACUGAAUAUCUGUGUCCCCCCAAACACGCACGUUGAAAUCCUUCCCCCAGUGUGAUGCUGUUUGGAAGUGGGGCCUUUGGGAGAUGAUUGGGUCAUAGGGGUGCAGCCCUCAUGGAUGGAUGAAUGCCCUUCUAAGCCCAGGUCAGAGAGUUAGCUUGCUGUUUCUCCUCCAGGUGAGGACACAACUAGAAGCCAGCAGUCUGCAGGCUGGAAAAAGGCCCUCACCAGAACCCAACCCUUGGACUUCAGCCUCCAGAACCAUUCAUUCAGCUUUCAGAGACCAGGGAUCACCGAGUCGGGAAAGGGGAAGUACCCUGGCUUCUCUUUGGCACAUCAGCCCCUAGUUCUUGAGAGAGAAGGGCAGGGUGGUCCGCUCACCAUGUCUGUAUCCUGCCGUUCUUCACUUGACUCAUCCUGAAUUUCUAACUCUUCUUCCUCAUCCUCUUCCAUAAGGCUGAGUCUGAUGUAGGGGCAAAGAGUCAGGCUUUUCAAACUGUUCUUUGAGGACCCCUGAGAGUUUCUCAGACAGCCGGGGUGGGGGAAGUAAGUACAACAUAGUAGGUUUCCAGAUUGUGCUGACAGGAAGUGCUCUGUGGCUAAAACAAGCCCAAAAAGCACCCACAGAGAGGCAAUGGGUGAUACAGGAAUCCCCUUACAGUGGGCAACAGAUCUGAAGUGAAGACAGGAGAUGAUGAGAAAAGCUCACCGCAUCAGCUGGUUGCCCAGAUCAGGACCUGAAGGGUUGCGUGGAGUCUGGAAAUACUGUGGACCCAAGAACCUUGACCUCUGGGUGCCUGCGAGGGGCUGACUGCUGGGAAUGAAGCAGGAUCAAUGAUGGGAUAAAAAUCAAGAGGCCUUGCUGUACCUUGUUGUAGUGUUUGAAAACAUCUGAGGCUGCGUCCAUCUCCAGCACCCCAUAAAGCAACAACUUGCAGAACCCGGCCAGGAGGCGGCGCCGCUGGUGUAGCCGCUCUAUCUGUAAAUGAUCCUCCUGGGAAUCACCUGGCUCACAUGGAAGGCAGAAGGGAAUCACAGACUUAGGCUUCCUGCCCUAUACUCCUGAGCCACACCCAAGUCCCAGCCCUUACUGAGCCCCAGGUAUAGAGUCACUGCACCACUGCCCAGGUCUCCCAGCUGGAUGAAGACAUGGUCCAUGAGGAAGCUGGCUAGCUCAGACUGGAGAGUAGCUUCAGGAAAAAAGACAAGUGGCCUAAGGAAAUCACGGCCCCCGACAAUCAUCUGAGGGCUAAAGAUGAGAAGUAGAUCACUUAAUAAGACAAAAGCCUGUAGGGGGAAAAGAAAGGAUGUUUAAAAGGACAGAACGUUUCCCAAGGUAGAAAUGACACUUGUCAAUUUCUCCUUGGAAUGGGGGAUGCGGGCAGGGAUACUCGCCUUGUUGCUCCCACUUGAGUCAGUGCUCACCUGCUCCUGGAUCUCAGUAUCCACAUCUGAGAGACAACUCUGGCAGAGUUCACAGAAGGCCACCAUUCUGUCCCUCAAACUCGACAGCUGCUUCUGUGGGCACAGUGGCUUGAAAGGGAAGAAUGAAGACACAGACACCUCUGUUCCCACUCCCCCAUCUAAGACCCACACUCACCUGGGAAGCAUCUGAUUUAGAAAUGUGGGUUAGUGUCCAGAGAAUGGAAAAAUAGACAAGAGUCAAGGCUGGCAGGACAACCUGUAACAACAAAGUGUUUGAAAAAUGAGGUCAGGAGAGGGAGAGACAGAUAGGCAGACACACACCAAUGAAGAGGAGAGAAAAUGAGUAAGGGGAGAGCCAAUUCCUUUUCCAGUGGAAAAUGAAUGAUAUUACGGACACUCUUCAGAGGCUUCUAUACGAAGUAGAAAUGUCACCACUCCCUAAUUUACUCUACGUCUCCUAGAAUCCCUCAAUAUUAUCCUUGGCUUCCAGGAAAUCCAAGAAGACACUGAAAGUAGAGUCUACCUCCUAAGAGAGGAAUGUAAGAGGUGACCCCCCGACCUGAUCUUCCUCGUUUUGUCCAUUCUACACCUUGAGACUUGAUGUACCUGGUGGCCACCUAGAACAUAGGUCCUUAAAAUCUAACCCCCCAGCCCCCAACCCAUCUCUAGCCUGUCCACUCACCUGGUGAGGAACCUCUCCUGUGUCCACAGCCUUCUGCAGGAGUUGACAACAUGGUUCAUAGAGCUCCCAGCGAGUCAGGUCAUGAGCGCUUUGUGGAAGAAAGGGGAAUGUUAUACUGGAAAAGAACAGAGGGAACCAACUCCACAGACACCAGUAAAAAUGGGAUGGGAAAGAGGAGGAAAGCCACUCACUUGUAGAAGGCAGAGAGGCGUUUCAGAGUGGCUGCCAGAUUAUAUACCUCAUCCUCAUCUAGGAAGGACGACUGAGGAGGAAAGAAGAUCCACAAUAGCAUUUCCCCCAGAACUCAUCAGUCCACAUCCCCUGUCUUGCAGCCCCUCCCACCCUUGUUUGGGGUGUCCCAUUGUCCAGUCCCAGCUCCUACCUGCAGCAGCUCUUCAAGCUCCUGCUGGAAGCGGUCAGUCAGCAGAUCCACAAGUUGGCUGCGGGCAAAGUCGGCCCGGCUGAAGAAAGUGAAUUCCGGAUUACAGAGCAGGUAGAGGGCAUGGGCCCCAGCCUCGAGCACCGCUGGCUCUGCAUGCUUCACCACCACCUCCUGGAGUUGCUGCAGGAACAGCUCCAGGUGCUGAGAAGAAAAGGCAGAAGAUGGUGUGCUGUGGGGGUGGGAGGAGGGCACUCUUCUGGAGGGAAGUGGAACAGGGUUAAAAACAUUAAACAUCAAGGAUAAGAUGCCUAAGAAAA